rnacentral:rRNA from 9 species
GCAGAGAGGUCACACCCGUUCCCAUACCGAACACGGAAGUUAAGCUCUCUAGCGCCGAUGGUAGUUGGGACCUUGUCCCUGUGAGAGUAGGACGUUGCCAGGCU